GGCUGUUUGGUUCAAAAACUUCAGAUAAGUAGAUAGUUAUCCACUAUAUUGAUCAUAUUUAACUAUAUUUUGUGGCACUGCAUCUAUACUUUUUGCAUAUAUGUAUAUACUUCAGAAUUCAUCCGGCUGCUUCUAUUUUCUGUCACAUUAUCAACAAACACUACUGACUCAGUGCCAUUGGAAGCCAUGCCAUCACACUGCCUCCACCAUCUUUUACAGAUGAUGCGGUAUGCUUCAAAUCAUGAGCUGUUCCAAUAUGUUCUCCAUACUUUUUUCUUCCCAUCAUUAUGGUAUAGAUUGAUCUCAAUUUCAUCAGUCAAAAGAAUGCUUUUUCCAAACUGGGUUGGCUUUUUUAGAUGUUUUUGGCAAAGUCUAAUCUGGCCUUUCUAUUCUUGAGGCUUAUAAAUGGUUCGCAUCUUGUGGUGAACCCACUGUAUUUGUGAAGUCUUCUCUUUAUGGUAGACUUGGAUAAUGAUAUGCCUACCUCCUAGAAAGUGUCUUCACUUGCUUGGAUGUUUUGAAGGGUUUUUC